rnacentral:lncRNA from 13 species
AUGGCAGCUGACUGUGACGCUGCUAUGAAAGGAUUGCCCUGUUUUGAAUCACCCUCGUCUUUCCAAGGGGCUUCGUUUGAGAUAAACCACAUCCUGUUUGGGGUCUGGGAUGGAAAGGAAGAGACAGAGACCGGGUCUUGUGUCCAAGCUCUCUUCUGGGCUCAGGCAUCUAUUCCAGGACAUCAGCCCUCCCACAGAAACCUUGGGCCAGGACGUCUCGAGGGUCAGGGGAGUUCAUGUUCUGGGGGGUCUAGAGCACGAUCUGGAGGUCUGGAGUGUGAAGACAUCUCUGACCCCGAGGCCUCAGGUGUUUCAAGUGCACGUGAGAACCCAAGAUCUUCCGAAAGCCCAGCGUUGGCUCAGAGGCUGUCGGGGAGUCAGUGCAGUGGGAUCCACCGUUUGAGCUCUGCAUCAAUUAUGGUUUCUUUCCUCUGGUCUUCUGCCAACAAGAUGUCAGCAGCUCUCUUUACUGUGGCCUCAGGAAAACAGCCUGGAUUCUGCAAUCACUGACUCACUGAUGAAAAAUCCAGAUGGAAAGAAAGGUGGGGCUUUCCUGCUGCCUUCAGUUUGGAGAUCUGCUUCCAGCUUCCUGCUGGGCACAAGGUGGGGCAGUGGAAGGAGCAGUUUUUGCAGGUGAAGAACCCGGGCCUCAUUGUACAGUCCCUGGAGGAGCCAUGUCCCUCCAGAGCUUGCUUGGCCACAGGAGACAUGAUUCCAGCAGUGACGAUGAAGACACUCCAGGUAGAUGCACACACCGGGGAGAGGGCGCCACAGAAGAGGCUCGAGAUGUCAGUCAAUACCAGCAGGGGUCUGUCUGCAGUCCCUGACUCAACGAUGGGUGAAUAAAUGCACUCUCACACCUGCUUCA